rnacentral:rRNA from 1 species
AUGUGCUCUCCGAAGAGAGAGGGAGGCAUGGGAUUCAGGGAUCCGGAGGUUUUCAACCAAGCUUUGCUUGCUAAGCAAGCUUGGAGGAUCUUGCAAAACCCUGAGUCCCUUUGUGCUCGUGUGCUUAAGGCACGGUAUUUCAAGGAGGGAUCAAUUAUGACAGCUACGUGCCCAAGUGGAGCCUCGUUCACUUUCCGGAGCAUUUUGCAUGGA